GAUUCUAGCAUAAUUGACUUCUACCCUGAAGAUUUUGCUAUUGAUUUAAAUGGGAAGAAAUAUGCCUGGCAAGGUGGGGAAACAGAUACAGAGCUGCUAUAUAAUUGUGCCCCAGGUCACCCAGCUGGUGAACCACACACCCAUGUGGGCUGGAUCCAGAGGCAUCCUACUGAUUAGUAUGUAGCAGGCGCUCCAUAAAUAUUGGCUGAAUUAAUGGAAGAACAACAAAAAAUCUGUGUCCUGAACCCACCAGCUAAGUAACGGUGAAGCACUUCGCCUCUGUAGAUGAAACAAUCCCUGCACUG